GAAAUGCGAUAAGUAAUGUGAAUUGCAGAAUUCAGUGAAUCAUCGAAUCUUUGAACGCACCUUGCGCCCUUUGGCUAUUCCGAAGGGCAUGCCUGUUUGAGUAUCAUGAACACCUCAACUCUCAUGGCUUGCCAUGAUGGGCUUGGAUUAUGGAGGUCUUGCUGGCCUAUGGUCAGCUCCUCUCAAAUGGAUCAGCUUUCCAGUGUUUGGUGGCAUCACGAGUGUGAUAACUAUCUACGCUUGUGGUUUCCUGCCAGGUAACCUUCAGUGAUGGGGGUUCGCUGGGGCUCAUAAAUGUCUCUCCUCAGUGAAGACAGGUUUUUGAAUGUUUGAUCUCAAAUCAGGUAGGACUACCCGCUGAACUUAA
rnacentral:misc_RNA from 1 species